GUUAACACCGGUUCUCGUCCGAUCUACAAAGUUAAGCAACAUUGAGCCGAGUUAGUACAUAAAUGGGUAACUGUCCGUGAAUAAAAGGUGCU